GGCGGAGCCGCAUCGGAGGGGCGGCGGCCCGUGACCGCUCCGGACCUAGCUUGGGGCGGCGCCGGAAGGGGACGGGGGCGCGGCGGCGGAAGGGGUCGGGGGCGCGGCGGCUGAAGAGGUCGGGGGCGGAUCUGAGGGGCGGCGGAGCGGAUGAGUCCCCGGCGGUGGAUCUCAGGGACGGCGGCGGCUGAGGACGUCAGGGCGCGGCGGCGGACGUCACGGGCGCAGCGGACGUCACGGCCGGAGGUGGAUCUGAAGGGCGGCGACGGUCAGGGGCGGCGGAGGGCUGGGCAUCCCGAUUUUCAGGGGCGGCGGCGGCGAGAUCAAGGGAGAAGGUGAGGGGAACAGCGGGCGGUGGAUGGGGGCUGGCGCGGCGUAUGCUACGGGCGGCGGCGAAGGUGGGUGAGGCGGCGGAUGGGGGCUCCGGCGGAGGAGGUCAGGGCGGCGGGGUUGGAGCCGGGCGGUGCUGGCGUUGGGCUCGGGGGUGAGAGGAGGUGCGGUGAGAGGAGACGCGUGAGAAGAUCUGGGUCGAAA
rnacentral:lncRNA from 1 species